rnacentral:rRNA from 1 species
GUGCCAGCCGCCGCGGUAAUACGUAGGGUGCGAGCGUUGUCCGGAUUUAUUGGGCGUAAAGGGCUCGUAGGCGGCCUGUCGCGUCGGGAGUGAAAGCCCACUGCUUAACGGUGGGUCUGCUUCCGGUACGGGCGGGCUGGAGUAUGGCAGGGGAGACUGGAAUUCCUGGUGUAGCGGUGGAAUGCGCAGAUAUCAGGAGGAACACCGGUGGCGAAGGCGGGUCUCUGGGCCAUUACUGACGCUGAGGAGCGAAAGCGUGGGGAGCGAACAGGAUUAGAUACCCGAGUAGUCC